UAAAGAGGGCACUGGAGCACAACUAUUAUGCCCUGCUACUGGAUCAGUCCUCAGUAGGGAAGACGUCAUCGGUGAGGUGGGAAAAUGGGAAUCACCCCUGCUGUCUUUCAGUUCGUACCCUCCAUCCCGCCACGCUGAAAUCCAUGCUGCUUCCAAACUACGGGGGCUUCGUUCAGUCCAAUGGUUGGUGUUCCAUCUCGUGCUUGCGGCAGCCUAUUCAGAUUGGCUCUCCCAUGCUAGACCCUCGUACAGGUGACCUGGUGCUCAUCACCAGCGUCAGUCUUGAUCCCCAUACAGGUACAUUUCUGAUGGUUGAAAAAGCGUCUCAGCAUGUUCAAGCAGCCUGAUUGAUGAGUGUCUCUGUUCAGGAGCUGUACUACCAGUUGGGGGGCUUCUCUUGGGUGAGUCCUUCAAUAAGCCCUUGAGCGGCCGGAUGGCACGGGUUGGUGGAUGCAGUGUGCGAGGAGGAAAGGUGGUGCCUCAUGCUGGGGGUUUCCAGGCUCUGCUGGGCGCUUGCUUGCGGGUGGCGGAGCUCUUGCAAGGAUUCAGUGAGGAGUGGAGCUCAGCAGCUGCAGAUCCACAAGGUGACCUGGACAGAGUCUCGGCAGAAACAGUGGAGCUGGAGGAGGCCUAGAAAAGCAGCCAACUCUGUUUGUUGCAGAUGCUGAGUCGCCUGGAAGCCGUACAGGAACAGGCCAGGGGUGUGGCGGAGAAUGGCGGUAGUGUGGGUGGAUAGGAGCUGUUUAUUACAAAACAUCUGUACAUUUCAAGGGGAAAUCAAGCUUCCUGGCACUGAACUAUCCUUGCCAGCUCUCCCUGGGUUGGAGUAUCCUGACCCUGGAGGCUCGGGUUUGCAUGUCCCAGUUCUGGGAGCUCAGUUGGACUGGGUGUCAGGAUACAAGGUGCCUCUGGCAGCAACCAUGGAGGAUGCAGAUAGUAAAGGAGACGAGGAGGAGUGGGAGCAGCAGUGUUACUGGCACACCAAGCUUAAGGCCGUGCUGAAUGUAGUGAGUGUGUCCAUGGAGAGACUGGGGAUCGGCUGUCGGCACAGGAAACACAGCAUCUGGAUGGAGAACUGAGGGAGCAGGAACUGUGGGAGCAAUUAAUGCAGAGACAAGCAGAGCUCGAUGCUGUGAUUUCGUCUCUCCUCUGUUCUCGUCAGGUCUGCCAGCUGCGUGCUGACACCACACAGUCUUUGGUUUCUGGCACAUUCUGGAAUAAGGAUUUUGGUGUGCUGCAGCCCAAGGGUGUCAGAAACCCUCUGAAAUUAAUAUCCAUGAAUCAGCAGAAAAUCCCUCCUUGGCUUGAACGACUUUUUCAGCUGUUGGAGGAAACCAAAACACUUGGCCAGUCGACCAGCACACAGCGGCAGCAGAGCUCUGGUAAGCAGGUGUUCGGCCGAGACAGCACUUCCAGAAUGUGGACCAAAUCUGCGUCUGUUGUAAAAGGUAUCUCAACUCAGUCCUUUAAAGAUCAAAUGAAGGCUCCGUCUGCGAGUGAACAGAAUGCCAUGGUGCCCUCUCUUCCUCUGUCAAACACAUCUUACACUCAGAAAAGCCAGGAAAAAAACACAGCUGAACCACAGCCGGGGUGA
ensembl:lncRNA